rnacentral:lncRNA from 1 species
CAUGCUUUUCAACUUGAAUUCUUCGUAGUGACUCUGUUUUUGAGAGAUAGAUAGCACGCUACCUGCUUCAUCUAUUUCAUUUAGAAAUAAACUUAGCUGAAAAUGUUAAUCAACUAGAAAUUCUUCGUAGUGACUUGAUCUCGAUGAAGUACGUUACAUUCAGCAACUUGAUGAAUUAGAUUUUUAUUCACUUUUGGCUAAAAAUUAAGAAACUUCGAAGAUUCGAGGUUUUGACUUAAAAUUUCGAAUGACAGAAAUAUCUUAAAGAUGUGCUAUUGAAGUUAUUUUUAAAACUUUUUUUUUGAGAGAUAGGUAGCACGCUACCCGCUUCGUUUAUUUCAUUUAGAAAUAAACUUAGCUGGAAAUGUAAAUCAGCUGGAAAUGUGAAUCAGCUGGAAGUGUAACAUGAAAGCUGCUGCUAAUCCGAAAUCACCUUAAGGGUGCGUUUGGUUCGCAUUAUAAAAGAUUACUAGGAAUAAAAGAUAUCCGAGAAUCUGAUUACUAUUCAUCCUAUUACUAAGAAUGUGGAAUUCCUGUGUUUGGUUCACACAGUAAUAUUAAUUAGCCAUGUUAUUUAAUAUUACAAAAAUUAUACAAUUAAUUUAUUUAUUUAUUUAAUUAAUUUUAGAUAAUGUUACCAAAAGUUUCAACAUCUUUUUAGAAAAAAGAGAGAGAGAGUAUAAGUUAGAGAGAGAGAGAGCAUAAUUAAAAAAAUAGAAAGAAAAAUAUAGUCGAAAUUAGAGGGAGUGAGAGAGUUGAAAUUUUAGAAAGAGAGAGAGAGAGAAAGCUUAGUUUAGAGAGAGAAAAAAAAGUUGAAUUUUAGAGAGAAAAAUAAGUCUAGAGAGAUAUAAGGUUAGAGUGUAAAGAAAAAUAAUAUCAAUUAGCCGGCGGGUAGGAAGAAAGAAAGAGAUUAGACAUAUUAUGAUUACCCCAAUCCAUUAAUAUAAGGAUACUCACCCUCCCUCAAGGGAAUGAGAUUAGUACUUUGGGGUGAAUCUUAUUCCCAAGUGAAUCUAAUAUUACCAACUAGAUUACUUAGUGCGUUUAGCUAAACACCGUCAUAUUUUUUUAUUCCCAUUGGAUUACUAGGAAUCUUUAAAAGAUAGCGCGAACCAAACGCACCCUAACGGUUGAAUGUUGUGAAAGAAGAUC